UCGGACGUGGUGUGCGGUGCACCCCCGCGCUGUAUUCGGGGAUAACCGUCGCACCGUUUGCGGGAAGUCCGGGUUCGAUUCCCGGCGUCCGAU